GUCUACGGCCAUGCCACCCUAAACAAGCCCAAUGUCUGACUUCGGAAGCUAAGCAGGGUGGGGCCUGGUUAGUACUUGGAUGGGAGACCCCCUAGGAAGACCAGGUAGUAGGCA
rnacentral:rRNA from 1 species